rnacentral:rRNA from 1 species
UACGGAGGGGGCUAGCGUUGUUCGGAAUUACUGGGCGUAAAGCGCGCGUAGGCGGCUUUGUAAGUUAGAGGUGAAAGCCCGAAGCUCAACUUCGGAAUUGCCUUUAAGACUGCAUCGCUAGAAUUGUGGAGAGGUAAGUGGAAUUCCGAGUGUAGAGGUGAAAUUCGUAGAUAUUCGGAAGAACACCAGUGGCGAAGGCGGCUCACUGGACUGGUAUUGACGCUGAGGUGCGAAAGCGUGGGGAGCAAACAGG